rnacentral:lncRNA from 1 species
ACAGUAAUUAGCAGAAUUCAAGGGUAUCUUGAAUUUUCCCUCUAAGUUUGAUUUUCUUGUGGUUUUAUUAGACAGAUACAGAUGGAGGCAGUAGCAUGGUAACACCUCAAAAUCAAGCAUCCAGCAGCUGAAUCCGAAAAACACAAGGAACAAGGUGGUCUCAAAAAUUUGGAGUGAAGCCAGAGGUGAAGUGAGACUUUCUGAAGCUGCAACAAUACCUCUACUCUACUUAAAGCAAUUUCUGUUGCAACAAAGAAGAUAAGCUGUGGAAGCUAGGAUUUCAGAAAAUUUAGAUUUAAGGACAAGUGCCAAUCAAGGAUAAAGCUGAAACUGCAGAGAGCCCGGCAUUCAGAUUUCUGAAGAUGCUUUCAUGAUCUACACAUCUGUCAUUGCUGUUGCUUAUCACCGUUCCUGGGAAUCUGGCACUUCAUCAGCCGUCUUUCUUUCCAUGUAAUGAACACUGUUCUCCCUGACUCAGGUGUCAUCACCAUGAGAAGGACAUACCACCCCAGAAUAAGGAGAGGCAAAUGGAUUAGACUUGAAAUGAACCCAGAGCCUGGAUUCAAGCACAGCCAAACCCAGCUUGGAUCUCAUAAUUCCCAGUCCUGUGCAGAAGAACCGUGAGACCUACAAUAUAUUUCCAUACCUUCUUUCAAGAAAUAAAUGCUCAAUUUUGUAAGAC